GACGAACGCUGGCGGCGUGCUUAACACAUGCAAGUCGAACGGAAAGGCCCUGCUUUUGUGGGGUGCUCGAGUGGCGAACGGGUGAGUAACACGUGAGUAACCUGCCCUUGACUUUGGGAUAACUUCAGGAAACUGGGGCUAAUACCGGAUAGGAGCUCCUGCUGCAUGGUGGGGGUUGGAAAGUUUCGGCGGUUGGGGAUGGACUCGCGGCUUAUCAGCUUGUUGGUGGGGUAGUGGCUUACCAAGGCGUUGACGGGUAGCCGGCCUGAGAGGGUGACCGGCCACAUUGGGACUGAGAUGCGGCACAGACUCCUACGGGAGGCAGCAGUGGGGAAUAUUGCACAAUGGGCGGAGGCCUGAUGCAGCAACGCCGCGUGCGGGAUGACGGCCUUCGGGUUGUAAACCGCUUUCGCCUGUGACGAAGCGUGAGUGAUGGUAAUGGGUAAAGAAGCACCGGCUAACUACGUG
rnacentral:rRNA from 1 species